rnacentral:rRNA from 1 species
AUUGAACGCUGGCGGCAUGCCUUACACAUGCAGGUCGAACGGCAGCGCGGGGCAACCUGGCGGCGAGUGGCGAACGGGUGAGUAAUAUAUCGGAACGUACCCUGGAGUGGGGGAUAACGUAGCGAAAGUUACGCUAAUACCGCAUACGAUCUAAGGAUGAAAGUGGGGGAUUCGCAAGAACCUCAUGCUCCUGGAGCGGCCGAUAUCUGAUUAGCUAGUUGGUAGGGUAAAAGCCUACCAAGGCAUCGAUCAGUAGCUGGUCUGAGAGGACGACCAGCCACACUGGAACUGAGACACGGUCCAGACUCCUACGGGAGGCAGCAGUGGGGAAUUUUGGACAAUGGGCGCAAGCCUGAUCCAGCAAUGCCGCGUGAGUGAAGAAGGCCUUCGGGUUGUAAAGCUCUUUUGUCAGGGAAGAAACGGGUUUUUCUAAUACAGAGAUCUAAUGACGGUACCUGAAGAAUAAGCACCGGCUAACUACGUGCCAGCAGCCGCGGUAAUACGUAGGGUGCAAGCGUUAAUCGGAAUUACUGGGCGUAAAGCGUGCGCAGGCGGUUUUGUAAGACUGUCGUGAAAUCCCCGGGCUCAACCUGGGAAUGGCGAUGGUGACUGCAAGGCUAGAGUUUGGCAGAGGGGGGUAGAAUUCCACGUGUAGCAGUGAAAUGCGUAGAUAUGUGGAGGAACACCGAUGGCGAAGGCAGCCCCCUGGGUCAAAACUGACGCUCAUGCACGAAAGCGUGGGGAGCAAACAGGAUUAGAUACCCUGGUAGUCCACGCCCUAAACGAUGUCUACUAGUUGUCGGGUUUUAAUUAACUUGGUAACGCAGCUAACGCGUGAAGUAGACCGCCUGGGGAGUACGGUCGCAAGAUUAAAACUCAAAGGAAUUGACGGGGACCCGCACAAGCGGUGGAUGAUGUGGAUUAAUUCGAUGCAACGCGAAANACCUUACCUACCCUUGACAUGGCAGAAAUCCUCGAGAGAUUGAGGAGUGCUCGAAAGAGAAUCUGCACACAGGUGCUGCAUGGCUGUCGUCAGCUCGUGUCGUGAGAUGUUGGGUUAAGUCCCGCAACGAGCGCAACCCUUGUCAUUAGUUGCUACGAAAGAGCACUCUAAUGAGACUGCCGGUGACAAACCGGAGGAAGGUGGGGAUGACGUCAAGUCCUCAUGGCCCUUAUGGGUAGGGCUUCACACGUCAUAC